rnacentral:rRNA from 1 species
AUUGGACCUGAUAUCAGGCAAGAUUGCCCGCUGAAAUCACACC